rnacentral:rRNA from 1 species
AGCAUGGGGGAAUAUUGCACAAUGGGCGCAAGCCUGAUGCAGCCAUGCCGCGUGUAUGAGAAGGCCUUCGGGUUGUAAAGUACUUUCAGCAGUGAGGAAGUGGGUAUGUUAAUAGCAUACUCAUUUGACGUUAGCUGCAGAAGAAGCACCGGCUAACUCCGUGCCAGCAGCCGCGGUAAUACGGAGGGUGCGAGCGUUAAUCGGAAUUACUGGGCGUAAAGCGCAUGCAGGUGGUUUGUUAAGUCAGAUGUGAAAGCCCGGGGCUCAACCUCGGAAUUGCAUUUGAAACUGGCAAACUAGAGUACUGUAGAGGGGGUAGAAUUUCAGGUGUAGCGGUGAAAUGCGUAGAGAUCUGAAGGAAUACCGGUGGCGAAGGCGGCCCCCUGGACAGAUACUGACACUCAGAUGCGAAAGCGUGGGGAGCAAACAGGAUUAGAUACCCUGGUAG